ACUGAUUGGCCGAAAAACCCGAAACGCAUUGGUCGUAUUUUGAAUUAGCUAAAUUUAAAUUAUCAACUCGUAUCUCACGGAUUAAAUAUACCGAGUAUAUUUAAUCGAUAGUCGCGUUAUGUACAAACACUAUAAUAUUAUAUUAAAUUAUGCACGUAUGCCGUACAAGUAUAUAACGGAACGAAAAUAAAUGUUGAAAAAUGCGAAAAAAAAAGGCGAAAUAAAAGUUCCACCUUUGAAGUCUCUGUUACGCGAGUCAAAUUAUUAUGUACGCCGA